UGGGGAAUAUUGCACAAUGGGCGCAAGCCUGAUGCAGCCAUGCCGCGUGUGUGAAGAAGGCCUUCGGGUUGUAAAGCACUUUUGUCCGGAAAGAAAUCCUUGGCUCUAAUACAGUCGGGGGAUGACGGUACCGGAAGAAUAAGCACCGGCUAACUACGUGCCAGCAGCCGCGGUAAUACGUAGGGUGCAAGCGUUAAUCGGAAUUACUGGGCGUAAAGCGUGCGCAGGCGGUUUGCUAAGACCGAUGUGAAAUCCCCGGGCUCAACCUGGGAACUGCAUUGGUGACUGGCAGGCUAGAGUAUGGCAGAGGGGGGUAGAAUUCCACGUGUAGCAGGUGAAAUGCGUAGAGAUGUGGAGGAAUACCGAUGGCGAAGGCAGCCCCCUGGGCCAAUACUGACGCUCAUGCACGAAAGCGUGGGGAGCAAACAGGAUUAGAUACCCUGGUAGUCCACGCCCUAAAGCGAUGUCAACUAGUUGUUGGGGAUUCAUUUCCUUAGUAACGUAGCUAACGCGUGAAGUUGACCGCCUGGGGAGUACGGUCGCAAG
rnacentral:rRNA from 1 species